UACGAAGGGGGCUAGCGUUGCUCGGAAUCACUGGGCGUAAAGCGCACGUAGGCGGACUCUUAAGUCAGGGGUGAAAUCCUGGAGCUCAACUCCAGAACUGCCUUGAUACUGGGAGUCUUGAGUUCGGGAGAGGUGAGUGGAACUCCUAGUGUAGAGGUGGAAUUCGUAGAUAUUAGGAAGAACACCAGUGGCGAAGGCGGCCUCACUGGUCCGGUACG
rnacentral:rRNA from 1 species